GGGUCUCGGGCGGCGAGGGCACGGAUACAAAUGCGCCGCCGCGUUCUCAGGGGUUUUCAAGCCAGAUUUUUAUAAAAGGAGGGAACUUCUUUCUUGAAGAAAUGGUCGAGACCAGAUGAGAAUGGAACAUCUUGCUGAGCCAGAGGAAAAGGAGGUCCUAUCAGUGCCUUGAUCUUGGACUUCCCAGUCCCCAGAAUGAAUAUACACCAGAUGAACAUGUCUGCCAUCUCCCCAGAGAGGACAAACAGUUGCUUGGUUUGCUGUCAGAAUGCAACGCAAAGGGUGAAGCCACGCACCUCCUCAUUCAACAGCAUGCAAGGUGAUGGAGAAAACCUGCAACUGGGACCCCCCAGUCUUCUCUUCCUUGAACAGCCUACAUCUCCUUGGGUGUUACUGCUCAUCCUGUCAAAACCAAAACUUUGCUCUCCUCUGACGGAGCUGAGUUUCCAUACAGACA
rnacentral:lncRNA from 10 species